rnacentral:rRNA from 1 species
CACGUAGGUGGCAAGCGUUGUCCGGAUUUACUGGGCGUAAAGAGCGCGCAGGCGGUCGUUCAAGUCGCGUGUGAAAGCCCCCGGCUCAACUGGGGAGGGUCACGCGAUACUGAUCGACUCGAAGGCAGGAGAGGGUAGUGGAAUUCCCGGUGUAGUGGUGAAAUGCGUAGAUAUCGGGAGGAACACCAGUGGCGAAGGCGACUACCUGGCCUGUUCUUGACGCUGAGGCGCGAAAGCUAGGGGAGCAAACGGG